UACGUAGGGAGCAAGCGUUGUCCGGAAUCAUUGGGCGUAAAGAGCGCGUAGGCGGUCCGGUAAGUCGGUUGUGAAAACUCGAGGCUCAACCUCGAGACGUCGGCGGAAACCAUCUGGCUAGAGUCCGGAAGAGGAGAGUGGAAUUCCUGGUGUAGCGGUGAAAUGCGCAGAUAUCAGGAAGAACACCCGUGGCGAAGGCGGCUCUCUGGGACGGUACUGACGCUGAGGUGCGAAAGCGUGGGGAGCAAACAGG
rnacentral:rRNA from 1 species